AAUUUAUUUUUGUGGGAGAUGGAAGAGUGAGGGUAAUGGUUUGCAGGAGCUUUAUGGGGACAAGAGUAUGCAACCCGUGCUGAAGUCUAGGCAGCACUCCUUGAGAGUGCCAUCAGAUGCUCAGACGCACCCCACAAUGGUCAGCUGGGAAAGAAUUCCAUAAUUCUUGAUCAACACUCAAACAAUUUAAGAAGAUUUUGGAAAAUCUGACUAGUUUUUAAUCUACACUCUGAUUUCUUAUGCUGUUCCCUGCUUAUCAAAGACAGAUACUGUGCAGGUCAAGGACUGCCAGGCAAUACCACAACCAAAUGUCUGCCUGACUGCCCAGGACGUAUGUUCACGCUGGUUGGCCAGCUGGCCGAAGAGCUGAGAGGUGCAUCCAGUCUAACAGAACAACUGCCUGGUGGAAGCGAUGGCU
rnacentral:lncRNA from 1 species